UGCCGCCCGCAAUGUCUCGGUCGUGGGCUGGUCGUGGGUUCGUUAUGCUAUUCCAGCCACUGUAGUUAUGCCAGUUGUGCGCCAUUCUAAGCCGUUCUGUACAUUUAUACUGGAUAUUAAUUGGAGUCAUUUAGCUGUGCUGAUGCUGUUUGCCGUGUGUUUUGCAUCGUGCUUCGUGACAUCGGCUGUAUUGCGUGUUUUCGCCGACGGCUUACUACCACAAUGGCGGGAUCUGCGUUCGCCGCCUUCGUGUCUCGGUGCGUCUUUGUACGUCGCACGUUCGGAUAACACUUUUUCCGACGGCUGGACAUCCUUCUUGUACCUUGGCGCUAGCUGGAUGACGGGACAUCAUGAUCAGUGUAUUGCUUGCCUAUGUCUACAAGAACCGUCACGCGUGGCCUGUGACAGCAAGCUUUUGUGGGCAGCAAGUGCUCUCCUACGAAGGCUGGCCUACUCUGGCAGCGGCGGCAAUCAUCUUCAAGAUUUAUCCAUAAUCACCUUUGCUGCUUUUUGUCACUCUUGUUGAUUACACUUUCUGCGUCUUUUCUAAUUUAUUAGGUAAUAAAGUAUGAGUAUGUGA